rnacentral:rRNA from 1 species
CCUACGGGUGGCAGCAGUGAGGAAUAUUGGUCAAUGGACGAGAGUCUGAACCAGCCAAGUCGCGUGAAGGAUGACUGCCCUAUGGGUUGUAAACUUCUUUUGUAUGGGAAUAAAGUGCAGUAUGUAUACUGCUUUGCAUGUACCUUAUGAAUAAGGAUCGGCUAACUCCGUGCCAGCAGCCGCGGUAAUACGGAGGAUCCUAGCGUUAUCCGGAUUUAUUGGGUUUAAAGGGAGCGGAGGCGGGUUGUUAAGUCAGUUGUGAAAGUUUGCGGCUCAACCGUAAAAUGGCAGUUGAUACUGGCAGCGUUGAGUACAGUAGAGGUAGGCGGAAUGCGUGGUGUAGCGGUGAAAGGCUUAGAUAUCACGAAGAACCCCGAUUGCGAAGGCAGCCUGCUGGACUGUAACUGACGCUGAUGCUCGAAAGCGUGGGUAUCAAACAGGAUUAGAUACCCUUGUAGUC